AUCGUCAUUGUCAUCGGUAUCAUCUCCCGCCAUUUCCUUUGUCUGUGCUCGGGCCGCGCGCGUCUAUGUUCUUUCCUGUAGUUUUGUACUUGAUCUCCAGCUCCGUUCAACAAAACAAAUGGCAAAAUACUGCAUUGUGGAGUUCAUUGAGGAAGGCUCUGUGGAAGUAGUUCCAGCUACAUGGAUUGCUGGCAACAGGUGCUCCUGGCCCCCUGGACCAGGUGACAAACCAAGUUUGGUAAAAAGGUGUCAAGCUCCUGGACGAGACUGGAUGACCUACAAAAUCACUGUAAAAGGAGCAUAUGAAAGGUACGGAUAUGCUCGGAGAAAACUCGACCUUGCCCAGUAUACAUCAGACCUGGACUCUGGUCAGGAACCAAAAAAAAAAACGAAAAAUACAAAAGCGUAUCAGAUAUGAGGAUGAGGACUCACAAUACAGUCCACCAGCACCACCACUGAAUUUUCCACGAGCUUCAGCUUGCCACUCUCCUGACGUAGGUGCACCUGGCGAAGAUGAUGCCACACUGUCCACAACAUCCAAUACCAUUAUCAGUAAUUACGACCUUGGUGGGUCUUGCUUGGAUGUUCUGCAUGGUUCACCUUUUCCGCAAGUUAGCCGUCAGUGCACAAGGCUACAACAGCAGCCAACACCUGCUGUUAAAAAAGUUAUUUCCCCAAGUGGUAAGUAAUAGGCCUUCAGCACGCUUUUACUGGAAGGUUUUUGUAAUACACGUUGACCUGUGUUUCGCUCUUAAAUUUGGCCUUUCAGCUUCCAGUUACUGUCACUUCUGUCAAUCUGCUAAUCGUAUGUCAGGCUGUAGCCAAUGCGUCGAAGAGGACAGUGUCUUGCAAAAUAAUGAGUGUUCCAGCAACGUUCUGAAUUAAUCAGCUUGCACAUCAUUUACUUGUUGCUUCAGGUGUGAUGAGAGAGAGAAAAUUACAGCACACAUAUUGUUGCAGACUUCCAGCGUGAAGUGCUCACGCGGCUGACUGCUCUUCGUCUUCUGGUACAGCAGCAGACAGAGCUUUUGACGGUGCUUUCAACUAAAUACACAAAGGAGUGUGCCAUUCAAGAACAAGACAGCAUCCUGAAGGAGCGGUUUGAGAAUAUUGCACCUUUAAGCGCUUCGACGAGUCUCUGACUGGCUCCACUGCAGAGUCCCUGGUAGGAAUGCCACGCGUGUCUCUCACAGGAGGGCUGAAUACUCCCCAGUGGUCAGUCAUAGGGGCACUCCUUUUCUUGAUGGUAAUCAAUUAUCUGCCAGGCUGCCUUCACUUCACACGUCUAUUUACGUUCUGACGACUAUGCCUGUAUCAGACAAUUCAUGAUGAGCCAGAUUCACAGGUUUUACAGUCCUCUCAGGUUGGCAUUCAACAUGUGGCAGUUGUCACUUAAUAUUAAUAAGAGUCUUGUCCUUCAUGAGCACUCAUCCCUUUCAUUUCCCCUACCAUUUUGGCAACUCCUGUCUCCAGCACGGCACCUCUUGCAAGUACCUCGGUUUGCAUUCCUAUGAGAUGUCCUGGACUAGCAAUAUUUCCUACAAUAUCGGCCGCGCAAACAAUAUUCUCGAGUAUCUGCAUCAUAAAGUCUCCCAUUGUCUGCAUUCAGUUAAAAAUAUUAUGUAUGUUACACUUGAAUAUGCUUCUGCAAUAUGGGCCUUGCCCAGUUAUUAUAAAAGAGCAAUAGAAGCUCUACAAAACACUCAAUUCAUUUUAAACCACAUUUCAUUGACUACAACAAUGACAGUAGUGUUUCUCCUAUGGAAACCGAUCUGUACCUCCCUACCUUAGCUCUGUGAAGAAAGAUCUCCGGUCUCUGCCUCUUCUAUCAUAUUUUUAUAACAGACACUUGAGCACAGAUAUGUAAGCAGCUGGGGUCGAAACCGGAACUGAAUCGUAACCCAAAACCGCAAAAAAUGGUUAUUUUUGUCGAACCGAACUGUAAACAAUUUUUCUCUCCUCUUGAACGAACCGGAACUGAACCAGAAAAAUAUCAUUCGGUAACCAGUUCGCCAGACGGUAAAAAUGCCUAUACCUUCCCAGUCGACUGCCGCGUACCAGCUCACUGCAUCCCUCGGAAUCUUGCGGAAUUCACAGAGUGGACAAAUCGAUGAACCAAGAAGUGGUGAGUCCAUGCACCUGCAGCCCCAUGCAUGAGUCCUGCAGCCUCACCUCCGAAAGCUUCAGGACAUGCCUGUAAAUUUUUGUGGCUCGAGGUGUAAAAAAAAAGAAAUUGCUACACGAUGGAUAUACUUUACACUGUUGGCUCGGCUGCUUCCUGUCAUUCAGGGUCGCAGUGUGAAUGCGACGUAAAUUUUAAUAGUCCACAGUUAUAUCUACAAGCAACGCAGACCUCUGGCGAUCAUGGGAAAGAGUUUGGCAUGUGGUCCAGAGCAUGUAAGAAAGAAACACAGGAGCGGCCUCUCGUCCUGUUUUCAACGGGGAGCAGCGUUUCGGCCCACGUAUGGUACUCUGGGAUACUCCAAUCUACCACGUGAUCGCUUUCUUCUCUUUUUUUUUCUUUAGAAAUUGGCGAUAGCCUUUUGUAAUGGAGUGUAAUGGCAUGCUGUACGCCAUUUCCCAGCACUUCUCGAUACAGUAAAGGAUGAUCUGCUGUGAGGUGUAUGGCAAGCCAUCGUCGGAACUUGUUAUUAGUACGUCUCAAAUGUGGCACACUGAUUAGCACAGCACACGUAAACCGGUUCGAACUGGUAAGUAUCGGUUCAAACGUUUAUUUUGGUUGUGCUGAACCCGAACCGAACCGAUAACCUUGAACCAGAACUUGAACCGAACCCCAAAAAAUAACGGUUCCGAGCCAUGGUAAGCAGUGCUGCAUUAUUUCUCAGAAAUCAUUCCCUCAAGGUGGAGUUAAAACACUGAAACCAUGAUUACUUUCCUUAUUUGUGUCUUCAUUCGUUCUAACACUAGGCCACUUGGCCUAGUGUUAGAAUGAGCUUCCACAUAGCAUGGUCGCUAUCUGAGGUCCACUACAAUUCAAAAAUAUAAUAACCAGCCUUUUCUCUUCCACGCCAGCGACUGUUUCAAUGUGGUGCUUUUUGGUGCCUCUGUACUAAGUUUAUGCCUGACCAGUAGGUGUUUUACUUUCUUCAGCUGAACAUUUUAGAGUGUUUUUCGGUAUCUAUAAUAACCUUAUUUGUAUGUUUAUCUUGACUUUUGUACUCCUACAUUGCAUUUCUGAUUUGUCUUCUUUCAGAUCUCCACAAGUUCUGUAAGUGUAUGUGUGCCCGUGCCACCUCCAACAGUAUGCAAAACACAGACUGAGGAACAGACACUAGACUUGUCUGUUCCUUCGUCCCUUUGUCUUUUGCGUCGUGUUUGCCUCAGUUAUGUAAUGCCCCUAUCUGGGCCUGAACGUAUGACCAGCUCUAAAUACAGAAGUGCUAAAGAAGUAAUACUCUAGGAAUUUUAAUACUUUGUAGCAGGGCCAUUCCAUGCCAAGUUAUCCAGAGAUGUCGCUCGACCUCCCUAGAAUUUUAUGAUUUUUUGGUGGUUCCUUAUGACUCAAAAAAGCAACAGAACAUUGGUCUUUUCUAACGAAAUUGAAAUUUAAGGGGUACACAGCCCCUCAAAGAUGCAGUGCUUUGCGAAAACGUACGUCGUUGCAAGCAGAUAUGACGGUCCACGUAAGGCACAGAGCGCGUUAAAGAGCAUCUUAUUUGACAGGGGAAAGCUCAUUUUACCGUAUGCAAGCAGUUUUCACCAUCACACUCCACGGGCUCUACGCUUUUGGCGUGCACGAAAUAUGCAAAUGUUGUACAAGUUCACAAAUUUGUUUGCAGUAUAAAAUUCUGGAAUUUAUUUCUCAAAAUCUUUUUGUCAUGUGGCCCCCUUCAGUAAAGGAAAGAUAUGGAGAUAAGGGUCCAUUCAGGCUUCAUGGUACCAUAUGGCUGAUUUUUUGUCGUAUGGCAUCCGGCAGUCGAGUCGUUGACAUGACUAUAGUAAUCACGACAUGAACAGUGAUAAAGUACUGCCUGCACCAAACACAAGCGUAAGUUCCUAGUAUGUGCCAUUGUUUCUUUCAUUUUUUAACACAUUCCAGUAUUGGAAACAGAUUCUUUAGCUGUCCGCUCCUCUUGCACGUAUAUAAAAGUUACUUGGUAACUGUGAUGUACGAUCUUUUCGUUUUGUGCACCAACACUUGAGAUGUACAUAUAAAAAGAAAUGCCAGUCACGGGGGCUAUCACUUUCAAUACCAGGUAAGCUGUUUCUGGGCAUUUCUGUAACCGCCACCUAUUGUACAUUUUUAAAAAUAAACAUAGAUAUCCAACACCAGGAACUUAGUGGUGAAAACAUUCUCCACUUGUGUUCGGUGCAGGCAGUACUUGAUCGCUGUUCAUAUCGUGAUUACACUACUCGUCCCUAAUUGUGGUCUGCCUUGGCCAAUUCUCGUUGUUUACGUCGUUUACACUACUCGUGUCGUGACGACUCGACUCGACUGGCGGAUGCUGGAUGCCACACGGCCAAAAAUCAACCAUAUGGUACCAUGAAGCCUGUAUGAACCCCUAUCUUCAUGUAUUUCUUUAUCUCUCACUUACCAGCACUGCGAGCUGGCUAAAAGUUUCGUUGGAGCGCAAGAUGCCCAGCUUGAUGAGCGCUCACUGCACAAACUUCGGGUCUCAAAGGAGGCAAACACGUGUUUGCAACCAUUAUUUGCUCCUCAAUAAUGCGACUGCCUAGUGUGCCUCUGAACCACUUGGCAUGGAAUAGCACAACAGCAAAUAAGCUCCAAAUAUAUUUUAGUAAUAUUUCUUUUUUUAUUUUUGUUCUUGUUCAGUUAUGCGCAUGUGUCAUGCAGUGUUGUGGUCUUUCAGAUCCGUCAUUUCAGCAACAUUGGGGGCGUGAGUCCAGAAUCGUGUACGAGGCGUAUACUCAGGGCACUUAUGUCUGAUCAAGUGGCAGCAGAAUUUUCCUGGCAGGGCAGAAAAGGGAAGCAACCAUUCAGAGACCUGAAUGUUUCCAAAUGCGUUAUUGCUGCCGUCAAGACUUCACAGAAGUGCAGCGAACACUCAGUUGAAAGUGCAGUCAAAGACUGGCUCCGCCAUGCACCCGCAAGAAGUCGGGACACAGCCAAGAGCUCUUCGGCUCACCAAAGGGCUCACAGAGGAGUGAACUAAAGUUCUCCGCCACAGACAACGGUACUCGACCGUGCACUACUACCGUACCUCAGCUCUGAUGCUCUUUUUUAACAUUUUUCCCUGUUGGACAUUUUUGCUGUUUGCCCAGAGCUUUUUGGAUAUCCUGUGUGCUGGUAACUGCUGCUCCUGGGAACCCUACACUCAGAACCAAGCUAGUCUUUAGUGAAAAUGUUUUAAUGUUUUUAUAUACACAUUAUAUCCAACCCACACAAACAAAAGAGUACAAAGUGAUGUACUACAUUUUAAAUAUAUGUGCAAUUAUAUAUACAGAGUUUACAUACAUGUUUAAAGUAUGCGUGACAUGUGAUACAGGGUGUCUCAGAAAGUGUUAAAAGUAUAAUGAACUAUGCCACCUAGAAUCACGUGACUAAUGGCUCAUGCGAAUGUCAUUUAAGUUUUUUCAAUGAAUUUUAAUGAACUGAGCUUAUGUUUUGCCGAAUUUCAUGAUAACUGACACUGAUAUCGAGGAGCCCAUCAAAACAAAAAACAAUCUGAACAUCAUGCAUUUCGGAAUGCUCGCAGCUUAACUCUUGGCAUCUUUUUGAGCCAGCCUGAUCGUGAGUGCGACAUAAGAAAGUUGCAGAACUCAGCCCACGUAUGGAUAGCAGAAAGAGAUGCAACUGGCAUUGCUUCUCGCAUUUGUCUUCGACUGCGAUCAUACCUUCAAUUUCAAGAACUCAUUUUUUGUGUUAUCCCUCUGGGGAUUUGGUUUAGCAACCUUCCUUUGCUUUGUUAAAAAUUAGCAUAAUAAAACCUCGACAAGAUGAUAUUCACAUCAGUAGGUGGUAAAAACCAAGUAAGAAGAAAUGCCAUUGACCACAUGAUCCUAGGUAGCGUAGCUUGCUUACCAUAAUUCAAUUACACGUUUUCUGGGACACCUUGCAUAUGUGUGUUUAAUGUUUUAUGUUCUCAAUAUAUUUGCCCAAGUGCUCCACACUAACGAAAAGUACAAUGUGAUGCACAAGCGUCAUGAUAUUAGUGUUUUUUUUUUUCUUUUAUGCGGUCGCUAUUCACUAUAUACGUCCAACUGCUCCAUACUUACACAGAAGGUACAAAGAUAUCUACUAUAUGUCUCAAGUACCCAGUUAGGUGCCGCUUCCACUUUGUGAACGACAACUAAAAAUAUUCUACGCGUUUUCUACUAUCUGAUUCUGUAAAGUACCAAACCACAAAGUUGUUUGUAGUACACUACGAUUCAUUUAAGUGCAUUACAAGCAAUUGCAAGAGACAUUGUAUUGACAAGGGAUAUUUCUAUUGAAAGUAUUUUGACUAUGAAAGAGUAUGACUAUUAUCAAUUCUGCUCUUCGACCAAGCGACCUCGCUUCGAAAUUCAAGACUUUAAUUUGUGAUGCUGCUCAGCUGAAGUGAAAAAUAUUUCCUGUGUCAUAAUGCAUGCAAAGUACAGGGGUGGUCCUAUAGAACGUCCAUUGGACAUCCAUCUACGCUUUGGAUGUAUGUCCAUUAGAUGGGACGAACAUCCAUACGGGAUAUCUCUGCAACGUACCAGCCACGUGUUCUGGACCAGCAUUCGAUCAUCUAUAGUACGUCUUUUCAACGUAAUCUGGAUAUAUCUCGAUAUCCAUUGGAGAUACUGAACGUCCUACCUGAACCAUCCUCUGGACGUCUAAAGGACAUUUGUGGUUUACUGGGUAUAUGUCCCGCGUCAAAUCGCGUCUCGCUACGCUACUGCAGGAUGGUUGGACUCUCGUUUUGCAAGUUUGCAGUGGAGACUUGGGCAUGAUUUCCUGCCGCUCAGGGAUCGUUUGCAUCGUUAUGGUAUCACCUCGCCUCGAUGUCCUUUCUGUUCUAGCCAUGAAACUGCGCAGCACGCUUUUCAUGAGUGUCUCGUUCCCGAAGUUACAGAGUUGAGGAGCUGUAUGGGUUUCCACAGAUUCGCUGGAGCACCAUUCAAACGCUCCUUCAACCCCCCAAUCCAAUCCGGGACAGACGGUAGUUGAUUCUCUUAACCGUAGAGAUAAACUACCAAGUGUGGAUUGCGCGGUGCAUAGCAGUACACGGCGGCCACGCUCGGGGCCGUCACAUGUGCUAUGCCUCGUUCGAGCGGGUGUUCGCAGAGUUUUACAGAGGGAGAGAGGAGUCCUUGGUGCUAUGGAGUUCGGAAGACGUUGGCUAACUUGCUAUUCAACUGCUGGCUAACUACGUUAUUGCUAUUCGAAGAAACGCACGGAAGGUACGUUGUUCACUACUAAGCAUUACUUUCUUUCGUGCCGUUAUCCCGAACGCAACUCUCCGCAGUCUUGGUCUCUUGCAUGGCGACGACAAGCAGGAACAGCAAUCCUUAACGUGACGUGAUUUCGCAAGCAGUAGUUAGCAUUGCACUAGUUCUAGUUUUAGUCCUAGCUUGUUGAGAUAGUUAUAUGGGAGCGAGUCCUUGUGACUGGUCUUCCGCCUCGAUGCCAAUACACGCGCAGAUAUAAUUUAGAAGAACAUACUUAGCGUGCAAUUUUGACUUUGAAAAUUUAAAGCAGAAAAUGAUCUUUAUUGUGGAGUUUGCGUUUUACAACGUUAUGAGCUAAAAACUUAUAAAAUUAAAGUAUGACCUUUCCAUUUGUAGUGCCCUGAUGCUAUGACACUAAAAUAUUCUGAUAGUUUUUCUGUAUGGCUACGGGAAAUCUCGAGUAUAUUUUGCGAAUUGGAUCUACGUUUAUGUGUGACCUGCGCUGAUCUGCUUGUUAUGAUUAAUAUAACAUAUCUUCCAUUGUGUUUAUGCAUAACGCUCAUCUUCAUUGUAUAUUGGUUAAAGGUCAGAAUGCCGAUUUUGAAGUGCCGCAGAACUGAGCAAUUCUCGCGCUGUGUGUUCAUUACCGAACACUGAAUAUGUGUGCGAAAUAUCUUGCUCCAACUGUUCGUAGUUUUUUAGAGAACAGUUUUUUUAUUUCCCACGCCCGGCCGUCAGACCGUCGGCAAACCCUGCGCACGGGCGCACCGACGUCACUGCUCUCGGUUUAUCUGUCUUUGGCUUGGCAUGGACUCUUGGCUUGGCCGCUUGACUGCUUUCGUUUCGUCCUCUGUGCCCUCUACUACUAUACUAGUAUAGAGUAGGUCGUGCUCUGUGCGCUCUGUGCAUCGUACAUAAGCGAACAGCUGUUAUGUUGUUGCUAAGCCGGAAACAAAGCAUGUGAAUAUUUUUUUUGGCACGGCGUCGUUUGGAAGGUGUACUUCCUUGUUCUGACCUUGCCUUUUAUGGGCUGGAGCGAUAUGAUACGUGAUAUGCCACGGCGAAGUUGUCGAAGAUGCGACGGUGCUACGCUGUUAGAACAAUGCAUCGGAACAUUCAAGUGUUACCUAUUAUAAGCUUCCAAAAGACCAAGCAGUGCGAAGCUCUUGGCUGACAGUGGUGCCUGCUAAUUUCCACUGCAAGGAUUUUUCGUCCACGAAUGUUAUCAUAGGUUACGCGCGACUCCAGAGGCAAUUUGGAAUCUCGACACGAAAUCGUCUGAUGAAAAUCUGAGGUGCCCGACGCACAACAUUUUGAACGUGCCACGGAGGAUCAAGGCAAAAAACGAGAGCAAAAAAGGUAAGUCGAGGUUCAGAUAUAAAAAAUAGCAAGCUUAAUGAAUCAAUUGUGCAGCUGUCCUACUGCGCUUACUCUGAUGUAACCACGACUAACAACACAAUAGUAUUGAUAAUCUAACUUCUGAAUUAUCACAGGUGCACGCUGAAGGCGGAAAUGAAGCAUGAUCUGGCUUGCAUCUGGUGCAUGAAGAAAUUGAUGACACAUUAGUUGCAGUCGACCUCCACCAACAGGUAUGACAAUGUGAUGUUAUAAUUUGAGUAUUCACCUAUGUUCAACUUUUCAUGUGCACUCGCAUGCAGACAUCUUGACACCACUUUUAAAUCUGCCUUCAAAGUUACAACCUGUGCUUUCAGGGUGGAAAACAAAGGUCGCCAUUCCGAUUAGCUGUCUGGACACUGGUUCCUGUGGAUGGGCUGUUACAAGCUUCACUGUCUGAUAUAGAAGUGAUGAGCAUCCAUAAGGACACAUGCCAGAAAGGGAGUCUCUUUGGGAUGACAAACCCUCAUCACCUCAUGAGGACACAAUGGUUGACGAAUGGUUCUCAAGCACAUCGAAACUUCAACAAAUAAUUCAUGAAAAAGCGAGUCAGUGCUAGCACCAGGAAUUGAACAUGGACCGUCCCGCAACCAGUCAGAGAUGUUACAUUUCAGGCGCUCAUUGACUUUUGGUGAAUUACUUGUUGACUUUGUCCCAAGGUGGAACUCGCCACAGCUCAUUUGUCUAUCUGUUAAUGUUGUGGCGUGUGUUGCGUUUUUCUCUUUGUGUGUUCCAGACUCAGAACGGUUAAUUUGGAUCAGGUCAGGUACGUUUUAUUUAGACAUGGCAAACAUAAAGUGGUGUUUCUCAACACAACUUAGCAGUGACCUUCAUGCAUUACUGCUACGGCCAUUAAGCGUGAAUCGAAAGCUGCACAUUAUGCAUGAUGUAAAACCCCAAGACUAGGGAACAGGAAGGGACAGACACAAACACGUCCCUUUGUGUUCCCUAGUCUCGGGGUUUUACAUAUGCAUCAUCUUGACCAGCUCGCCUGCUUCCUAGCCAUUUUUUCUGCACAUUAUGCUCACUCUACUUUUAUCGUGGGCUAUAUAAUCUUGUUCAAGUUCUGUCAAACGACGUGUAAUGCUAUAAAAAAAUUCAGUACACUGUUUAUGUGGGUUGAAUGGUAGCGCAUGAAUGCAGGAAGGAAACUGUCAUUUUAUGGCAAGUGUUUACGUAUUGUGCGUUUAACUACUAAUUUUAUUGGUUAGCUUUCGCCGGCGUAUCAUGUCAAGCCAUGUUAUAUUAAUUUGGAACAUGUUCUUCUUAGUAGCCAGAGCAGCUGAUACCCAGUGAGAACAUAGCCCGUGUGUGUUUGUCUUUUCCACCGCAGCCCUUUUGUUUCCUCCCUGAUUGCUACACAUGUCAGGGAUAGGUUUCAGAACCGGUAGUUCCGGCCAAGUGUGAAUUGCUUUUCAGGGGAUCAUCACGCUGGCAGAUGAAACAUAUGGUUUAAAUUAUAUUGUAUUAUAUAUGUUAUAUAUUAUUUGCAGGACAGGAAUUGCGUAGCUUCACAUAAAUACUACUACUACGACGUAAGAGUAGUUUUAAAUCUAACUUUUUUAUGUUCAAAAGGGGAAAAAAUUAAUAAAACACUGUCAAGGAGCCCGCGAAGAGGGAAUCACACACGUAACAUGAAAAACGGUUAGGAGCAACUAAUAUUUAUUCGUUUUUCAUGUUACGUGUGUUUUUUAUGUUCCUGACAUUAUCGCACAAGAUGUAGUAUCCACUAUGAUCCUUUAUAUGGGGGUAUGUACAGUGCAGUCAACAGAUGCUGUUUACAAAUCUGUGCUUUCUACUGUGUUGAAAUGGGGUAGUUUGUAUCUGAGAGCCAUAGUGAAACACAGGCAGCCAAGGACAGACUUUUGAUGCCCUCGAGAAAACAUGGCAACACAUUGCAGGGACUCUGGAUGCUGCCUAAAUUUCCAGAACACACAGCUCAAGGCAAUAACAAGUAAAUAAAUAACACGUGGGUAGAGAAAUCCAAGACAGUUGCAUGUGUAAGCAGUCCGCUGUUGGAUUUGCUUCUGUCCGAGGUACGUUAUCUCAAAGGGAACGCACGGACACACUCAGAAUGAUACUAGGGCUGCUUGUGAAAUAGAAUGAGGAGAGGGGAAGAUAUAUAACCCUUUUUUCUUGUCUGUUAUUCUAUUGGUUAAAUUGUCAUUUGCUUAGCAGCAUAUAUGUGUAUAUUCCAGAGUCUGCUAAUAAAUAUAUCAGUUUAGAGCUAGCAGUCGCAUUGGAGAUGUCUCAUCCUGUCCUUGGCUGCUUGUGUUUCACUGUGACAUUGCUUGCUAUUGCAAAAACAGAAAACAAAAAAGACAAUAGAAAAACACGAAAAGAGCGACCUAAAAAGCUGCCUGUUCUGGUGCUCACAUGGAGGCAAUGCAAUGAGGUAACGUGCUCCAUUCAUGAACUGUGCAUAGUAGUACAUAUCACAACGGCAACGAUUAUUCAGAUUUUUUCUUGAAGUACUUUGUUUUUUUUCAGCUUUGUUUGCAGAGUCUAUUAUUGGAACUUUAUGUGAUUCCCCUCUUGAGAUACUUUAAGAUUGCUGAUGCUGUGCAGUUAAUUUUGAAACUGUACUGUGCUGAGGUACAAAAAGAGAAUUGUCAUACCUGCAUUUGAGCACAUAGGAAUAAUGUGUAAGUACUUUCCUUGUUGACAUUAAUAUUUGCACCAGGUCACAACAUUGUUGAUUGAUGUAAAAUGUAAAUAAAUAUAUUUAUUUGCUUGCCAAACAAUGCACAAAUGUCUUCUUUUCUAGUGAGAUAUUCCCUGUUCACCAGACAUAAAUGUGGAAAAGUUAAAGGGGCACAAUGAUGGUAGAGUCUAGCAUUGCUUUUUCCCACUUCACAUAUAUUCACUGUUAUUCGUGUGCACAUGUAGGAAUAGGAAGGUAGAGCAUGCGCAUAAAAAAUUUCGUAUGCAGCCACACAUAUGGUUCAGAAGAUUAAUUAGAUGAUGUCCAAGCAUAUAUAAUUGUGCUUCAUGUGCAAUGGAUAUGCUAACGGAUUGCUUCCAUGUAGCCUUUUUAUUUAUUUUUUUAUAAAUUCUUUUUAUAAAUGAUAUUUUUUAUUUGAUAUAAAUUUCAUAUUACAUAUUGUAUACUUAUAUUUUUAUAAAUUUUAUAAAUUAAAAACUCAAAUUACACGGCCCCUGUAAGAGUGCCCUUUGCAAAUGGUUUGGUAACGUGUCUCUAACUGUAAAGGUAAGAGGCAAUCGAGAAUGCUGCAGACAGGGUUGCAACUUAGAUAUUGCUUAUCAUGUCCUACAUACAAAGUGAUUUGUACAAUAAUUCCUGAGGACGGAAUUAAUUCCGAGGCUGGCCAGUGAUGUCACCCAGGACGACAAAUCACAUGAUUGCCUCUAACACUUUUACACCUCAUGGGCUGAGUUGUGAAUUGAAAGAGCACUCUACAGAAGGAUGAGGCGCACCUGAUUUCUAGGAUCUAUGCUAUGCCCUAACUCUUCAGGCACUACAUUUCUAAAAACACCAUUUCUAAGUGGCAAUAUGUGCUCUGGUACUUCUUUUGCGUCUGCAUAGUGUGUAACCACAUGGCUACUGGAGCUUUCGUGUGCAUCUUUUUGUGCGACGGUGCUCAUUACAAACAAUAUCCAGAUGUUAGACAUAAAAUGCAGUAGUUUGUAGCGUGCCACACAAUGCAGCGUGACAUGGGAGUGUGUGAUUCAAAGAAAGCUUCUGGAAAAUGCACAGAAUCCCACAAAAAGUUUAAAAUGUGAUUGGUAUUUCGUUUUACGUCUCUCGUCGUUACAUACCAUCGUCGACGCUGUUGCGCAUUGAUAAAUCGUACGUAAAACUUGUCCCAUAGCAGUAUGCGGUUUCUCAAAUACAUAGCACAAUUUUUUCCUGCAGGAAUAAAACGCUGUCGGCAUUUUCUUGCUAACACGGCUGUCGAAACGUCAGUCUCUACAAUGGGCAAGUGCUGUAAAGGGGCUAACGCAGACGCGACUUGAUACAAAUUGUACGUGCUCACAAAACACAAAUGACGAAUUCCAGUCACAACAUCGCACAGAGGUUGGCUCGCGAAUGAGUUCGCAGCUGCUGCACUGUUUACUUAUCGCAGAACGGUGAAACCCGGCUGUCCGCCAUCUUCAAGCAUAGAUACGUGAAGUCGCGAGAAGCCGUAGCUGAAAUCCACUGGAAAGUACGAAGGCGCGUACACGUCACAAUGCCCGUUCGUCAGCUACGUGAUAAAAAUGGCUGCGCCCAUGUGUGUUUCGGAAUGAAUUAUCUAUUUUUUUUACAUGGUACUGCACCGAACUGAGAGAAUGAAGAUGCAUUUUGGGGAGAGCUGGAUGUGGGCUUUCAGAAUAUCCCAACCGUUUCGACUAUUUUGGAUAUCGGCAUAGCUGACCUUUAAGCAUUUCUGAUGGCGGUAGUGUGAUCCGCUUCUCCCAAAAUCUGAUUGCCACUUGGAAAUUAUUUCAUAUACGUUUGUGUGCCGUGUGUUACGACGAUUACGUGACUCGAAAUGUAGGCUUCGCCUGCACAUCAUGCUUGUAAAAUCCUCCAAUUGCAUCGCGGCAUUUGAUAAUAGAUUCGCUUUUGCGCGAAGGCUUCGUAUUAUCUCGCAGGCACUGAACUCACAGGCGUUCUUGUCGUCCGUGUUCCGUGGUCUUCCAGGGUCUCUGCUGUUCGCAAUUAAUUACAUACAUCUAUCGGCACCCGUCUUCAACAAAUCAGGGCAGGUAUCAUUAGAGCUGGUUGUUUGCUAGAAGCGUGCUAUGUGGUGAAGUUCAUUUUUAACAUUUCUAUUUUAUGUGUGUGUGUUGGAUGCAUAAAACAAGGCUAGGUUUGUAGUGUCUCUUAGAAUGAAAACUGUAUAGUGUUCGAUUAGAUUAUGUCACGAGGAUGAUUUUAUGACAGAUAAUAUGAUAGAUUCUUCUCUGUUCUUUUGAUGAAGAAUAUCUUCUUUGAUUAAAUGUUGUGUUAUAGAUUUUAUUUCCUCUUCCGUUCGUGUCAUUCGUGUCCUGUAGAUGACAGAUAGAUAUCCCAUGGUCUUCCAGGGUCUCUGCUGUUCAAAGUUAAUUACAUACAACUCUCAGAGCUUCCCGCUAUUGCAAUGGUGGUGCUCAUGCAUAGGAAUAUUAGACUUUUUAUAAUACAACUUGUAAUUUGUUUGUAAUCAUAUUGAUUAAGAAUGUCUUCUUUGAAUAAAUGUGGUGACCGUUUUUCGUUUCGAUAUGGUAUUGUGUAGCUAUUAUUUCCCUACAUGUUGGAGGAUAUGUCGGUUUGGUUCUAUAUUAAUGCUAUGUGUUGAUCGUGUUGAUUCGAGUUAUUUCCUAAUGUCUGCGCUAUUCACUUCACAAGGAACUGACUAAUUAAAUUUGUAUCAUGUUGGAAUAUUAAACUUAGCUUCCGUAUUGUGCUCGAAAUUACUUAUAUGUAUCAGAACUUGUAAUUAAGGCUGUAAUUCAAAAUAUUGUGUUUGAUCUGUGAUACCUAUUGAAUGCUAUGUAUCGUACAUGUAAUUAGUAUAUUCUCAGUUAUGUGUAUUGUAUUGAGUUUCUUCUGCUUCAGGUCUUUUUGGCCGGGAUUUUUCUCCUCCAUACAGAGUC